GCCCCCCCUGUUCCGCCGCCCCUGGUUCACAUACACUACUUGAUAUACUUGAUAUAUACAUGCACUAGUGAAUGUGUUUCUCCUGAGCAUGUGCAUAUUGACAGCUUUUCUCCAUGGAGGUAGUUUUAUACCAUGCCCGAAAUAGGACAGAGAUUCAAAACAAUUCUUCCGGUACGUAUACCAUAUGUAUUUCUUUCUAACGCCUGUCCUAUUGUGGGCAUUUCGUGAGCAGUUUGGUUUUCAACCCUGACCAAAAACCAACCCUUCUGCACCGAGGUUGCAUGAGGCGAAGCGCAAAACUUGCACGGGAGGUUCCUAUGAUGUCACAAUUGUAAACUGGUUGUGGGUUGUGUUUUACAAUAUAUUACACUAUUAUACUAAAUAAUACAUGUUAUUUAUUGAAAAUAAGUCAAGAGUUCUGAUUGGCUGAGAGCUGUCAGUAAAAUCGUCAUAUCCAGUUGGUAUAGCCGUCCAAAUUUGAAGUUAAUUAUGACAUCGCCAUGGAAUAUUCAAAACAAACAUGCCAUAUGUAAUUUCGUGGUAUAUUGAAAAACAAUGUAUCACAGUGAAUGUAUUAACACGCUAUGACGUCAUGCUAUUAUUUAUCCGGCUAAAAUGGAAAAUUCAAAUGGCUUCCUCAAAGGAAAGGUUCACCGACUUUUUAUGUAUAUUCCGACAAAUAAAUAAUAAAACAAUUAUUGAAUUCAGUUCUUGCACGGCUUCGGCAGAUAACACAAACCUCAGAAUUCCUCACAUGAGUCACAUCGUACUCGACCUUGUUCCGUGCAAUUUUGAUGCUUUUUAUAUAAUUACUAAUACAUUUUUGAAAUCUCCGGUGC